UGUAAAAGGUUUUUGAUUGCAAUGGCUUUCUUUCCAAAUAACGAGUUUCAAAUGUUUAUUUGGAUCUUCUAAGAUUAGUUAAAUACGUUUCUUUUAGAAUCUUCAAGACUACAACUACCACGAGCACUGUCGAUGUCCCUGCACAAUGGUCCCUCAUUUCAAAACAAUGCGACGAUCACAUGAAAUUGAAAACACUUCCAAUGCAUGACCUUUGUUACAAUAUAAACUACCUAGGGUGAUAUUUUAAACAGAUUGUACAGGAUGGAGGUGGAGGGCUGGGACUCUGGUCUGGAGGAGGAGCUGGGUGUGUCUCUGGAGGAGCUGAGUAAGUGGAUUGAGGAGGAGGUGGAGAGGAGCGAGGCAGUCCGCCAGAGGAAGGCCCAGCUGGCUGAGCUCAAAGAAUGGGUGGAGCAGAAAGAGAAGGAAGAGGAGGUGGUGGACAAACUCUUCAACAAUGCCAACCAGUCCAUAGUGGAGUGUGAGGCUCUGGUGAAGUCCACCUACAGUAAAAUGGGUCUGGUCUACAAGGAGAGCUCUUCAGAGGAUGAGGGGGGAGUGGGAGGGGUUCAGUCCUCUGAUGUCAUAGAAAUUGACGAUGAUGAUGACGAUGAUGAUGUCAUCGCUGUGGGCUUACUGGUUCCACCCAAGAAACCUGGGAUACCUAUUCAGGAUGCAAUGUUUAAGGAGGCGUCGGCAGCUCUCCAGCGUUCCUCCCAGCAGGUGUUGAAGCUGGCCCAGACAGUCAACAAGAACUCUUCUUCUGGGCCUGCUAUACAACAGCCAGGGGGCCCAGUGCCCAUGCCAGCGGUGUUUGUGUCCCAGGCCACGCCCAGGAACACACCCACCCAGCCUAACCCCUCCCUGAAAGAUGAUGAAAUCAGACUGGAGAUGAGUCUUCUGGGAAAGAAGCGCACCAAGACCUGGCACAGCGGAAUGCUCAUCGCCAUCAACCCUGUCGGUAACGGUUACAGUAAGUACAAGGUGAAGUUUGAGAACAAGGGGAAGAGUCUACUGUCUGGGAACCACAUAGCGUUUCACUAUCACCCCACUCUGGAGAGGCUAUACGUGGGAGCCAGGGUGGUCGCCAAGUACAAGGACGGCAACCAGGUCUGGCUCUACGCUGGCAUCGUGGCAGAGAUGCCCAACAACAAGAACCGCAUGAGGUUCCUGAUCUUCUUUGACGACGGUUAUGCCUCCUACGUGACCCUGCCUGAGCUCUACCCUGUCUGCAGACCAAUGAAGCGUACAUGGGAGGACAUAGAGGAUGCAUCGUGUAAAGACUUCAUAGAGGAGUAUAUAACGUCAUACCCCAACAGGCCCAUGGUGCUGCUGAAGGCAGGCCAGGUCAUCAAGACAGAGUGGGAGGGGACGUGGUGGAGGAGCAGAGUGGAGGAGGUGGACGGCAGCCUCGUCAAGAUCCUCUUCCUGGAUGACAAGCGUAGUGAGUGGAUCUAUCGUGGUUCAACUAGGCUGGAGCCCAUGUUCAACCUGAAGACCAACUGUGCCAACACCCAGGAGAAGAAGAUGGCUGGCCAGCAGAGGACGCGCCCCAGCAUGGGAGCAUUGAGGACCAAGGGCCCCGUGGUCCAGUAUCACAGUGGGGGGAACACCACAACCCCCAGCGGGACCCCCACUAAAUCCCCCCAUCCCCUCUCCCCACCCUCCUCCAUCCCUCCUACACCCUCCCAGCUCAAUCAGCCUGCACGAACAGAUCCUAAGUAUCAGAUGGCUAAGAAGAGUACUUCUCCAUACAUUCCCACGCCAGGAGGCUCUCGCACUGGAUUGGCCAGUAAUAGCCACACCCCUAAAGCCAUGCAGCCCCAACCUUCAACUGGUUCUCCCGGGAACUCAUCCAGAAUGUAUGUCCUUCAGACUGGCAACAUCCAGACUCUCACGUCCCUACAGCCUAUCCAACACCAGCAGCAGUCUCUGCCCCCUCCUCCCCAAGCCCCUCCCACCGCACCUGCAGUGACCCCAUACACCAUCAGUAACGACCGGAUUCCCCACGAGCCCUCGUACCGCGCCCCCACAGACCGCAUCUUCUACCUGCCUCACACCUGCCAGCCUGCUUGUCUCAACCGUAUCCGGCCCUCCAGACCAGAUAUGCACCGGGGCAGGAACCCCCUGCUCACCCCUCUACUGUACGAGUUCAGACGCAUGACGGGGCGACGGAGAGUCAACCGCAAGAUGUCGUUCCAUGUGAUCUACAAGUCUCCUUGUGGGCUGUGUCUGCGCAGCAUGGCGGAGAUCCAGCGCUACCUGUUCCAGACGCGCUGUGACUUCAUCUUCCUGGAGAUGUUCUGCUUGGACCCCUAUGUCCUGGUCGACCGGCGCUUCCAGCCCCAGAAGCCUUACUACUACAUUCGAGACAUCACCAACGGCCGCGAGGACAUUCCCCUGUCCUGCGUCAACGAGAUCGACAUCACACCGCCCCCCGACGUGGCCUACAGUAAGGAGCGUAUCCCUGAAGACGGAGUGUUCAUCAACACCAGUCCAGACUUCCUGGUGGGCUGUGACUGUACCGACGGCUGCAGGGACAAGUCCAAGUGUUCGUGUCACCAGCUGACCCUGCAGGCCACCGCCUGUACCCCUGGUGCACAGAUCAACCACACGGCUGGAUACACACAAAAGAGACUGGAGGAGUGUUUGCCCACCGGGAUUUAUGAGUGUAAUAAGCGUUGUAAGUGCUGCAGUCAGAUGUGUACUAACCGUCUGGUGCAGCACGGUCUGCAGGUGAGGCUGCAGCUCUUUAAGACCCAGAACAAAGGCUGGGGCAUCCGCUGUCUGGACGACGUGGCCAAGGGAUCCUUCGUCUGUAUCUACGCCGGUAAGAUUCUGACAGAUGACUUUGCUGACAAGGAGGGUCUGGAGAUGGGUGAUGAGUACUUUGCUAACCUGGACCACAUAGAGAGUGUGGAGAACUUCAAGGAAGGGUAUGAGAGUGAGGCCCACUGUUCAGACAGUGACGGGAGCGGGGUGGACAUGUCCAGGCUGAAGAACCCCCCCUCGUCCUCCCUGGCUUUGCAGAACAAGAGCCUUCCCAAACCCCCCCAGAGAACCAAUGCUGCCAACCCCGCUGGCAAAGCGCGGGGUGCUGGUGGCGACUCCUCUAAGGAUGGGGAUAGUGAUGAAGAGUCGAACAACGACAAAAGUUCAGACGACACGUUUGUGAAGGACCCCUACUACAGCUCCAGCUCUGUGUGGAGGAGCUACACCACCCGUCGCCAGGCCAAGGGCGUUAAGGAAGGGAGCCAGGACAGUAAGGAUGGUGUGUCAGUGGGGGGAAAGGAGGACAGGAAGCCGCCCCCCAUGCCAGAGGAGAGUGGGAAGAGUAAAGUAGCGUCCUGGCUCACCAACCAACCCUCUACCUCCCAGGCCACCGUUAAGAUGGAGGGACUGAAGAUAGAGAAGAAGGAGCCCGGAGACCAGAAAAGUCAACAAUCAGUGAAGACGGAGGGAGGGAAGAGACAGGAUGUGAUGACGCUGUCGGACAGUGAUGACGUCCAGACCAUCAGCUCUGGAUCUGAUGACAACAAGGAGAGAGAGAAACGCACACAGGGUGAAGAUGGGGGAGGUGCGGUGAAGAGGCAGGUGGCUGUGAAGUCCACACGAGGCAUUGCUCUGAAGAACUCCCAUGGCCUGAUGGUGAAGACUGGAGGGGCUGGGAUAGGGCCAGGGGGAGGCCCGGGGGGGCACGGAGGGGCACAGGGUAAGGGUGGGGACGGGGGAGACAGUGGACCUAAAAACACACGGCUGUUCUUCGAUGGCGAGGAGUCCUGCUACAUCAUCGACGCCAAGCUGGAGGGCAACCUGGGACGCUACCUCAACCAUAGCUGCAGUGCUAACCUGUUUGUCCAGAAUGUGUUUGUAGACACACAUGAUCUGCGUUUCCCCUGGGUAGCCUUCUUCGCCAGCAAGCGUAUCCGGGCGGGGACAGAGUUAACGUGGGACUAUAACUACGAGGUUGGCAGUGUGGAGGGGAAGGAGCUACUGUGCUGCUGUGGCUCAACAGAGUGCAGAGGAAGACUGCUAUAAGAGACCACCCUCUAUACCUCCAUCUCAUCCCUCAAUUUCUUCAUCUUAUCUCGGAGUGCAGAGGGAGUUCUGCUGGAAGAGACCUCUCUAACUCCGUCUCCUCUCUGAGUGUAGAAGAUGCCUGCUGUAAGGACACUAUGUUAACCUCCCUUACUAUGUCAUUAGAGAAGAUGGGACACCUGCACCAACGAGUCUGUCCACGUUUCUCUCUUGUUCCUCCCCCUCUCUUUUUUCUGAAUUGUUUGUCUGCCUAUUGCUGACAUUGUAAUUCUUUACUGUUUUGUCUGUAUGCCCAGUUGUAUUUGACUGUCUGUGAAUUCAGACCAAACUGUGCUCUUCUCACAACUGAAUAAAAUCCUGUUUUCCACACA